UCAUGUGCCACCUCUCCACGAAGUUCAUGGGGAUAAAGUGGUGCGGGAACUAGUUCACUGUGUGCUGCAGCUGGAAGAAGUCAACGGGUGUCUUGGACUGUUCAUUUUUAUCCACCUCCCUCCAAGAAUGACGCCUUAGAUCAUGCGGGGGAAUAAAGGAUGACGCACCGUGCCAAUUGCUUUGCAACAAAGCGAUCGCGCAAAAUGGCGACCCAUACAUAUGGCGAGAUGCUCUAGGCCGCUUGCCAACGGAUCGUCUGCCGAUCAGGAUUUGAGUAAAUGGGAUCCGGAAUCAUGAUGAGUGAACUCCGUCUGGAUAGCCAGUCGAGCUUCAUCCUGAGUUUACGCCGACGGAGACGAAGUUAUGCAACACCCGCGAGUCCAACGUCUUUUAGGAUUGCGACGAAGAAAAGUUAUGCAUCCAGCAGACGUUCGACUCCCAUUCCAGUACGCAGUGCAGAC